AUUGAACGCUAGCGGGAUGCUUUACACAUGCAAGUCGAACGGCAGCGCGGACUUCGGUCUGGCGGCGAGUGGCGAACGGGUGAGUAAUGUAUCGGAACGUGCCCAGUAGCGGGGGAUAACUACGCGAAAGCGUAGCUAAUACCGCAUACGCCCUACGGGGGAAAGCCGGGGAUCGUAAGACCUUGCACUAUUGGAGCGGCCGAUAGCGGAUUAGCUAGUUGGUGAGGUAACGGCUCACCAAGGCGACGAUCCGUAGCUGGUUUGAGAGGACGACCAGCCACACUGGGACUGAGACACGGCCCAGACUCCUACGGGAGGCAGCAGUGGGGAAUUUUGGACAAUGGGGGCAACCCUGAUCCAGCCAUCCCGCGUGUGCAAUGAAGGCCUUCGGGUUGUAAAGCACUUUUGGCAGGAAAGAAACGUCGCGGGCUAAUACCCCGUGGAACUGACGGUACCUGCAGAAUAAGCACCGGCUAACUACGUG
rnacentral:rRNA from 1 species